rnacentral:rRNA from 1 species
UACAGAGGGGGCAAGCGUUGUUCGGAAUUACUGGGCGUAAAGGGCGCGUAGGCGGCCCGCUAAGUCGAACGUGAAAUCUCCAGGCUCAACCUGGGAACUGCGUCCGAUACUGGCAGGCUUGAAUCCGGGAGAGGGAUGUGGAAUUCCAGGUGUAGCGGUGAAAUGCGUAGAUAUCUGGAGGAACACCGGUGGCGAAGGCGGCAUCCUGGACCAAUAUUGACGCUGAGGAGCGAAAGCCAGGGGAGCAAACGGG